rnacentral:lncRNA from 1 species
CCUGUUCGUCAAGGAACAUUUUCAUCAUUCGUUCAAGCUGUUGUUGAGUUUGAUCCCCCAUAACAGCUGGCUCUGAUACCAAAUUGAUACAGGCCCCUGUUUGUGAUCUAGUUAGGGGUCUUUGGAAAAGUGAGUCAGGUUUGGAAGAAGAAGAAGGGUGGUUCUUUCUUCUGCCUAUGUUUGCAGACUUAGAGAGGAUCUGAAAUCUCUUGAGUGUAAAGUACUCAAAAACUAGAGAAUUAAUUUCCCCAUUUUAUUGAAAAGAAGGAGUAUAUAUACAAUUGAGUUUUAACUGUAACUCCUAAAAAUACUGAAGCAACAAAUAUGAAAAUAUUCUCAAACAACAAAAAUAGAAUCACAAAUAAAAUAAAAAGAUUCCAUAAAAUCAGUAGCUAAUAAUUGACCAACAGACUUAGUCAACCAGCAUUUUCUUCU